GUUUUAGUAGUUUAAAAUAAAAACUUUGGUCUUGUAAACCAAGAAUAGAUUAAAUCUUUAAAACU
rnacentral:tRNA from 1 species